CCUACGGGAGGCAGCAGUAAGGAAUAUUGGUCAAUGGACGCAAGUCUGAACCAGCCAUGCCGCGUGAAGGAUUAAGGCCCUCUGGGUUGUAAACUUCUUUUAUAGGGGACGAAAAAAGGGCAUUCUUGCUCACUUGACGGUACCCUAGGAAUAAGCACCGGCUAACUCCGUGCCAGCAGCCGCGGUAAUACGGAGGGUGCAAGCGUUAUCCGGAUUUACUGGGUUUAAAGGGUGCGUAGGUGGGUUGGUAAGUCAGUGGUGAAAUCUUCGAGCUUAACUCGGAAACUGCCAUUGAUACUAUCAAUCUUGAAUCAUCUAGAGGUAAGCGGAAUAUGUCAUGUAGCGGUGAAAUGCUUAGAUAUGACAUAGAACACCAAUUGCGAAGGCAGCUUACUAUGGAUGUAUUGACACUGAGGCACGAAAAGCGUGGGGGAUCAAACAGGAUUAGAUACCCUGGUAGUCCACGCCCUAAACCGAAUGGAUACUCGACAUUUGUGAUAUACUAUAAGUAGUCUGAGCGAAAGCAAUUAAGUAUCCCACCUGGAAGUACGACCGCAAGGUUGAAACUACAAAGGAAAGUUAGAACGG
rnacentral:rRNA from 1 species